AGACGAACCGUACGAACGUUAUUCGGAAUUACUGGGCUUAAAGGGUGCGUAGGCUGCACGGAAAGUUGGGUGUGAAAGCCCUCAGCUCAACUGAGGAAUUGCAUCCAAAACUGCCGUGCUUGAGGGAGACAGAGGUGAGCGGAACUCAAGGUGGAGCGGUGAAAUGCGUUGAUAUCUUGAGGAACACCGGUGGCGAAAGCGGCUCACUGGGUCUCUUCUGACGCUGAGGCACGAAAGCUAAGGUAGCAAACGGGAUUAGAAACCCCGGUAGUCC
rnacentral:rRNA from 1 species